UACGUAGGUCCCGAGCGCUGUCCGGAUUUAUUGGGCGUAAAGCGAGCGCAGGUGGUUUAUUAAGUCUGGUGUAAAAGGCAGUGGCUCAACCAUUGUAUGCAUUGGAAACUGGUAGACUUGAGUGCAGGAGAGGAGAGUGGAAUUCCAUGUGUAGCGGUGAAAUGCGUAGAUAUAUGGAGGAACACCGGUGGCGAAAGCGGCUCUCUGGCCUGUAACUGACACUGAGGCUCGAAAGCGUGGGGAGCACACAGG
rnacentral:rRNA from 1 species